rnacentral:tRNA from 1 species
AAAGAAUUAGUUAAACUUAAUAACCUAAAUUUGUCAAAUUUAAAUUAUAAAUAUUUUUAUAUUCUUUU